CUGCCUCGCACUUUCACCGGCUUCCAAAGCUCAAUGUUGGAGGGGGGGUCGCCGUCCACGCUCAGAGAGAGCUGCAGGUUCUUGCAGCUCACACAAGUGGGAUUCUGGUUGAACAGAAGACCCGCCCACCCGAGCCAGAUCCUGGUUCGGAUGAACCGUAGAGGCCAACCUGUGUUCUGGUGGAGCUCGUGAGCUCGAUUCCUGCCGGUUCGUGAUGGCUUUACAUAAGCGGAACGGCACAGACGAACUGUUUGACUUUAGGAGAGCAUCUCCAGCUCUGAAGAGCCUUCAAAUGGAACCAGAAGCGCUGUUCCUCCGCAGCUCCCUUGGAGAACGCAGGUGCUUACCGCUGCUCAUCUAUGUGGCGCCGCAGCGACGAAAGGCCAAAAGGACGUUAAAAAAAGGUAAAAAAAGAGCGGCGAGGACCAGGAACCUCCGCUGCCUUCUGAGAGGGGCACUUGUGAGGCUGCACGCUCUCCCACUUCUCCAUCAAACUCCAGCCGUGCGACCGCUUCAUCACCUGAAACGGAGCUGAAGGGCGCCCCAGAGGCUCCGGCGUCUCCGCCUGCUUUGGCCUCGGGGCCGCCGUCAGAGGUGAGCAGGAAGAGGCGGAGCAAGAGAUGUUUGUAGACCUGAAAACGACUCCACAUCCUUUAUUCAGAGGAAGAGCAGAGUGGAGCUUGUUGGAACUCACCGGCAGUGAC